rnacentral:rRNA from 1 species
UGGGGAAUUUUGGACAAUGGGGGAAACCCUGAUCCAGCAAUGCCGCGUGUGUGAAGAAGGCCUUCGGGUUGUAAAGCACUUUUGUCCGGAAAGAAAUCCUUUGGGCUAAUACCCUGGGGGGAUGACGGUACCGGAAGAAUAAGCAGCGGCUAACUACGUGCCAGCAGCCGCGGUAAUACGUAGGGUGCGAGCGUUAAUCGGAAUUACUGGGCGUAAAGCGUGCGCAGGCGGUGAUGUAAGACCGAUGUGAAAUCCCCGGGCUUAACCUGGGAACUGCAUUGGUGACUGCAUCGCUGGAGUAUGGCAGAGGGGGGUAGAAUUCCACGUGUAGCAGUGAAAUGCGUAGAGAUGUGGAGGAAUACCGAUGGCGAAGGCAGCCCCCUGGGCCAAUACUGACGCUCAUGCACGAAAGCGUGGGGAGCAAACAGG